GCUGGUCGCGCCACGACCGCGUGGACGGGAGCGCGCGCCGGGGCACUCCAGGCCGCGCCGGGCGGGGGAGUGACGCGGCGGGACCGCCUCCGCGCCCUGGGCCAGCCGUGACGCCCGGCGUCCGCCCCCUCUCCCCGAGACUGUGGCCCACCUGUGGGACGGGCGCCGCCGGCGCCGCUCCUCCUCCGAGGUCCCCGCGCUCCGUCGCCCAGGCCCCGGGAGGUGGCGGCCCGGCCCCCGUGAGCCUCUCACAGCAUCUUAGAGCGCGGUUCGGGCCGCCACACGCCACACUGGCUUUGGCCGACCCCGCCCAAGCUGAGCCCUCGGGACCCACCUGGUCUCCCGCCUCUCGGGCCCUGCUCAGCCCACCAGGACCCCUGGCGUGUCAGGGGCGGCAGCACGAAUGAAUCCCGCGCAGGGCUGUGUGACCUUCGAGGAUGUGUUCGUGUACUUCUCCCGGGAGGAGUGGGAGCUCCUUGAGGAAGCCCAGAGACUCCUGUAUCGUGAUGUGAUGCUGGAGAACUUCGCACUUGUGUCCUCGCUGGGACUUGCUGUUUCCAGGUCCCACGUAGUUACCCAGAUGGAGCCGGAGGGGAGCCCAGGGUGCCUGAGAAGGUAAACACAGCUCCAGCUACAGCAAAGAAGACUUGGAGGAGGCUGGACCUGGUGAGUGGAAGCCGAGGGAAUGGUCGCAUUGGGGCUGGCUUCACAUUAUACCAGCAGCCCGUGCUGUGUCUCCUGGUAUUCGGACGCUGGUACCUAUGGCUGACCUCCCUCCUUUUCCUUCCCCAUCUGGAUGCUCUGCCCACUGUCAUUUGUACUCUGAUCUCAGGUAGUUAGUCCCUUCCCUCUGCCCCCCAUCUUCUCUCGGUACUCUGCAGCAUUGGGUUUCAUUUAACACUGUCAUGAGUUGUGCUCACAUCCUUCAAUUUUCCUUGAAAACGAAGUAUUCCAUUCCAGCCAGAUUUUUCUGGCCCUGGACAGACCCUUUUGCACAGCACUCAUCUACCACAAGGCCUUGCUGGGAGAUCAUUGGCCAGAGGAGUGAUUUGGAGACCCUGCCCCUCCUCGUACUGUACUCUGUCCUUGUACCCUUUUCCUGUGAGGUCUCUGUCAUUCCCUGACCUGUAGAGGCCUGCAACCUUCCCUUCCUGAUCCUGACGCUAGCUCCCACGUUCGGCUGUCCCAUGGACUCGUUCCUGGUUGUAUCAGACAUGCAUGUGUCAUGGCCUGCCACUUGCCACCCAUUAAACAUGCACUUCCCCACCUUUAUCUUUCUUCAGGUUGAUGGCGUGGUGUGAGGGGUGAGGCUGCACCUUCUGAGCAGGGUGUUUCUGUGAGUGUCACAGAUGGGAACUCCCAAGGCAGGUCCUUCCAUCCAAAAGGCUCAUCCCUGUGACAUGUGUGACCCGGUCUUGAAAGACAUCUUUGCACCCGGCUGAGCCACAGGGAACACCAUCUGAGCAGCACCCAAACACCGCCAUGUGCAUCACUGUGGGAGAGACUCCUGUGGUAGUAUAAACCUUGACCAGAUGCAGAGGCCGCAGAGUGGAGAGAAUUUCUUCAGAAAGGAAAGGAGCCAGGCCUGAUUUGUGAAGAUCUACAGAUCCCAGGUGUUGGAGACGGCCUUUACUUGCAGGGAGGGUUGGAAGAACUUUGUGGUCAGCUCUGGACUUACCAGCUGCAGGCCCCUUGCAGUGGGGAGAAACCACACGGGGGCCCUGAGUGUGGGGAGGCCUUUUGCAUAUCAGAUUUCCUUUAGGUAAGAGAUCAUAAUCUGAGACCAUAAAGCCUUCCACUUGUUAGGAGGCAACCUCGCUCAUGGGUUGGUUGACUCAGAGCAUCUCAAGGGACUCUUGGCUGUGGUGAACCUGGGAACAACAGGGGCCAUUGGAGAUGCAGGAAAGGCUCCAGAGCCUGGGACACUUUCCCACAAGGAGAGUCCUCCCAGGAAGGUGAGCUCUGAGCACAUGGGUAUGGGAACUGCUAAUCUGCCUUCAACACUUUCAUGGGAGUGAGUCUCUCGGGGAGGGGAGUGCUUUCUGUGAACCACUCACCCCACAGAAAGCUUCCGUGGUCUAUGGGCAGAACUCGUACAAGUGGAUGUUUAACAAAUAUUGGCGUGGUUGUUCGACAUCAGCAGAUCAUGCUGAAGGGAAGCCUGUGACCACGGUGAAUGUGAGAAAGCCUUUCUUGAGAGGGCAGGCCUAGGUCAGCAUGGGAGGAUUUGCACUGAGUGAAGCCAGGGGAGUACUUCCAAGUGUGGGAAGGCCUCCAGCUGCAGGUCAGACCUCCUGCAGCACAGCUGACUAACACUGGGAGAGGCCUUGUGAAUGCAAGGAAUACGGGAAACUGUGGGAUGGCUCUGCUUUUGUCCAAAAUAACUUCCCGCACCUGAGAGAGAGUCUCUUCAAGUACAGAAUAUAUGGGCUAAGCUUUUUGUGUCUGCUGUUUUCUCACUCCUCAUGUAAGGGUUUCCCCAGGAGAGAAGGCUUGAGGGCAGUGAGGUGGGAAGGCCUUCAUUCACCAUUUUUAUUCCUGGCAUUAAGAGCAUCUGCGCUGGGGGAAAUCCUUUGAGUGUAAAGAUCAGAGAGCCUUUUGUGACCGCUCUUCCCUAGCUCGGCACGAGGAGUCACAGUGGGGAAAACCUCGUGGAUACAGUGACUGUGGACACACUCUCCACCUUCAUUCAUCCCUCACCUGCCCCUGAAGUGUUCUUACUGGGUAGAAACCCUGUGAGUGGAAGAGAUGUGGGAAGGCCUUUUGCAGGUGGACUUAGCUCAGUCAACACCUGAGAACUCAUACUGGGGAGAAUAUAACUCCUGAGGAAAAUGUUUGCCGGAGGAAACAUCUCACUCGGCAGCUGAGAAGUUAUACCAAAGAGAAACCCUGUAAGUGUCAUCGUUGUGAGAAAAUCUUCCAAAGCAGAUCGUCACUUACUGUCUUCCAAAGGGUCCUGUUGGAAGUUGAUUUUGCUAGGACCUUACUCUCCAAAUGAGAAAGGAGAAAACUAGUGGAAAAAGGAGAGGAAACUCGUGGUUAUGGUGCAGUUAACAAAACCUUCAGCUAGCACUCAGUCUUAGUAUGUGCUGAGAAGCAAUCAUGGAAGAUUAUUUAAAAAAGACAAAAGGCAUAAGAGAGGAGGAAGGAAAGAAGUAGACGUGACAGAAGAAGGACUACUUUCUUGGUUUCUUUCCGGUGUCCCCGGCAAACCCAUAACAGUUUGUUUUCAGUUGUUUCUGUUUGAGGUGGCAGGUGGGCGCGAGGGGGCCUCAUCCCUUCAACCGGCCUACGCAGUCACUUCCAUUCUGUGUCAGGAGAGCUGGGCACUUGACAGCCUCUGCGGGUAUUUACCCAAAUCCUUCUUUGUUAAAAAAACACUGACUUAGCCAGUCAGGGUCAUAAGUCUUUGUGAUAAAUGUGAAGUCGAUUGAUGAAGCACUCAAAAUUUAAAAGAAGUUAGAACACUAAAAAUAUUGUCACCUAAAGUCAUUUCAUAUCUAAGGAGCUAAGUUCGUAGAUAUGAAUGGGUACAUUUUCUGCACCAUUUUAAGACCAUUUAAGGCUUCAGUUAUUCAUUCACUAAUUUUUUCUUCAUUGAGAUAUGAUUGACAUAUAACCCUGUGUGAGUUUAAGGUGUACAGCAUUGCGCUGAUGAAUUUACACUCUAGUAUGAUUGCCACUGUAGCACUAGCACCUAUAUCCUCGUGGUAUCCGGUGUUCCUCAUGGUAGGAACAGUUAAGAUCUAGUCUCUUGUCCAGUUCAAUGUUUGUAAUAGUUUUGUUCCUUUUCUUCCCCGUGCUGUGUAUUAGAUCUUCAGGAUUUAUUUAUCUACCAGUUGCAAGUAGAUACCCUUAAACAACAUUCCCCCCCCCAAGCCUUUGGUAACCAUCAUUGCACUCUCAAAUUUGAGUUUGGUUUUUUGUUUUUCUUUUAAGAUUCCACAUAUAAAAAUAUAUAGUAUUUGUCUUUCUG